AAAAAAUUAUGAUUUUAUAAAUUUAUUUAAAAUUUAUUUUACAUAUAAAUUUUAGUGUGAAUUUUUAAUUAUUUAAAUAAUAAUUAUAAAAGAAUUGUAGUAAUUAGAUUUAAAGAUUUAAGAAAUUAAGAUUUAGUAAUAUUUAAAUUAAUAACAAAUUUUGUGCCAGCAGUUGCGGUUAUACAAAAAUUAAAUUAAAUUUUUUCAGUAUUUAAUAAAUAAUUAAUUAAUUUAAAAUAAAUAUUAAAUUAUUAGGUAAAAUUUUAAUUUAAAAAAAAAUUAUAUAAUAAUUAUGAUUUAUUAAAUUUAUAAAUAAACUAGGAUUAGAUACCCUAUUAUAAAAUUUAUAAAAUAAUACUAAAAUAGUAUGUAAUAAUUUAUUGAAACUUAAUUAAGUUGGCGGUAUUUUAGUUCAUUUAGAGGAAUCUGUUUAAUAAUUGAUAAUCCACGAAUAAAUUUACUUAAUUUAAAAUUUUAUAUAUCGUUGUUAAAAAAAUAUUUUUAAAAAAAAAUAAUAUUUAAAAAUUUUUAAUAAAAUUAAUUCAGAUCAAGAUGUAGAUUAUAAUUAAGAAUAUAAUGGAUUACAAUAAAUUUAUUUAAAUAGAAGUAAAUUUUGAAAAAAAUAACUAAAAGUGGAUUUAAAUGUAAUUUUAUUUAAUUUAUUAAAAUGAUUAAAAAUUAAAAUAUGUACAUAUUGCCCGUCACUUUCAUUUUAAAAUUGAAAUAAGUCGUAACAAAGUAGAUGUACUGGAAAGUGUUUCUAGAAUAA
rnacentral:ncRNA from 1 species